GGUGUUGUGGCUCAGUGGUAGAGUGCUUGCCUAGAAUGCAUGAGGCACUGGGUUCGAUCCCAGAACCA
rnacentral:tRNA from 1 species